GACGAACGCUGGCGGCGUGCUUAACACAUGCAAGUCGAACGGAAAGGCCCUGCUUUUGUUGGUUUCUCGAUUGGCGAACGGUUGUGUAACACGUGAGUAUCCUGCCCUUGUCUUUCUGAUAACUUCAGGAAACUGGGGCUCAUACCCGAUAUGAUCUCCUGCUGCAUGUUGUUGGUUGGAAAGUUUCGGCUGUUGUGGAUGGACUCGCGGCUUAUCAGCUUGUUGGUGGAGUAGUGGCUGACCAAGGCUUCGACGGGUAGCCUGCCUGAGAGGGUGAACGGCGACAUGGGGACUGAGAGACGGACCAGAAGCGUACGGGACGCAGCAGGGGGGAAUAUGACAGAAUGAGCGGAAGCGAGAUGCAGAAACGCCGCGAGCGGGAUGACGGCUUUCGAGUGGAAAACAGAUGUCGAAGGUGACGAAGAGGGAGUGACGGUAAUGGAUAAAGAAGCACCGGCUAACUACGUG
rnacentral:rRNA from 1 species